CACAGGACUCUGCUAAAUCGAAAGAUGCUGUAUAGGGUCUGACACCUGCCCGGUGCUGGAAGGUUAAGGAAGGUGCUUAGAAGUAAUUCGAAGGCAUUGACUGAAGCCCCAGUAAACGGCGGCCGUAACAAUAACGGUCCUAAGGUAGCGAAAUUCCUUGUCGGGUAAGUUCCGACCUGCACGAAUGGUGUAACGAUCUGGGCACUGUCUCAGCCACGAGCUCGGUGAAAUUGUAGUAUCGGUGAAGAUGCCGAUUACCCGCAAUGGGACGAAAAGACCCUGUGAACCUUUACUAUAACUUCGUAUUGACUCUGAGUAAAUAAUGUGUAGGAUAGGUGGGAGGCUUUGAAGCAGGCACGCUAGUGUUUGUGGAGCCAACGUUGAAAUACCACCCUUUGUUUACUUGGAGCCUAACUUCGAAAGAAGGACAUUGCGUGGUGGGUAGUUUGACUGGGG
rnacentral:rRNA from 1 species